rnacentral:pre_miRNA from 1 species
UUCAAUUUUGAUUGUUGUACAGAAACCUAAGUUAUUAAUUUGUUCGAGAAUAAUUGUA